UAAAUUUUGUUUUUGUAAUAGAAAACAAAAAGAAAAAUUGACAAGAAAACAAGAUGCUUUAAUUUGAAUUUCAAUAAUAAUUUUUUGGGGAGAUGCUUCUUGUUGCCAUGAUUCAACCACUUAAUUGCUAUUGCCAUGCUUUUGUAACAGAUGGGAAUUUAGAAGUAAUCUACAUCAGAAAAAUGAAUUUAUGGCAUACCAAAUCAAAGGUAACAGAUGUGGAUGUUAAAUUCAUUAUUAAUUGGUAUCAAAACAACAAAAAUAAUUUUAUCAAUAUAGCAAACAUUUUUAUUCCUACAAAUUUAAAUUAAAUCAUAUUAAUUUUAAUAUUUUUACACUGGCACUUAAAUUGGUUUUAUCAGUUUGCUAGC
rnacentral:lncRNA from 1 species